rnacentral:rRNA from 1 species
CCUACGGGAGGCAGCAGUGAGGAAUAUUGGUCAAUGGACGAGAGUCUGAACCAGCCAAGUAGCGUGAAGGAUGACUGCCCUAUGGGUUGUAAACUUCUUUUAUAUGGGAAUAAAGUAUUCCACGUGUGGGAUUUUGUAUGUACCAUAUGAAUAAGGAUCGGCUAACUCCGUGCCAGCAGCCGCGGUAAUACGGAGGAUCCGAGCGUUAUCCGGAUUUAUUGGGUUUAAAGGGAGCGUAGGUGGAUUGUUAAGUCAGUUGUGAAAGUUUGCGGCUCAACCGUAAAAUUGCAGUUGAAACUGGCAGUCUUGAGUACAGUAGAGGUGGGCGGAAUCCGUGGUGUAGCGGUGAAAUGCUUAGAUAUCACGAAGAACUCCGAUUGCGAAGGCAGCUCACUAGACUGCAACUGACACUGAUGCUCGAAAGUGUGGGUAUCAAACAGGACUAGAUACCCUGGUAGUCCACACAGUAAACGAUAAUACUCGCCUGUUUGCGAUAUCCAGUAAGCGGCCAAGCGAAAAGCAUUAAGUAUUCCCCCUGGGGAGUACGCCGGCAACGGGGAAACUCAAAGGAAUUGACGGGGGCCCGCACAAGCGGAGGAACAUGUGGUUUAAUUCGAUGAUACGCGAGGAACCUUACCCGGGCUUAAAUUGCAUUUGAAUAAUCUGGAAACAGGUUAGCCGCAAGGCAAAUGUGAAGGUGCUGCAUGGUUGUCGUCAGCUCGUGCCGUGAGGUGUCGGCUUAAGUGCCAUAACGAGCGCAACCCUUAUCUUUAGUUACUAACAGGUUAUGCUGAGGACUCUAGAGAGACUGCCGUCGUAAGAUGUGAGGAAGGUGGGGAUGACGUCAAAUCAGCACGGCCCUUACGUCCGGGGCUACACACGUGUUACAAUGGGGGGUACAGAAGGCAGCUACCUGGCGACAGGAUGCUAAUCCCAAAAACCUCUCUCAGUUCGGAUCGAAGUCUGCAACCCGACUUCGUGAAGCUGGAUUCGCUAGUAAUCGCGCAUCAGCCAUGGCGCGGUGAAUACGUUCCCAGGCCUUGCACA